rnacentral:lncRNA from 1 species
UCCAUUUACAGUCCAUUUACAAAACCCAGUUACAUUUAUAGCCCAAGACCUGAUUAGCCCAGGUACCUAAAACUACCCAGUGCCCAAUUACACCCAAGCCCGUAUUAUAGACCAAAUGCUGCCCAAAAUACACAGGGCCCAAGAGGCCCAAUCUGUUAACGGGAGACAGAAGGCUUAAGGUUUCAGAAAUCCUAGGCGCCGCAAGCACUCCAACCGUCACUCUCCAAUCGACGCCUCCAUAAGCACUCCAACCGUCACUCUCCAAUUGACGCCUCCAUCAGUGCCGUGAUUCCAGGCCCCGUAUCGCGCCGUGAUCGGCGCGCGAAUCAACGCCAGUGUGCCAUUAUCAGUGCCCGAUCAUCGCUAGUCUCCUCGUCGUCACCUGCAAAAAGAGAAAGAAGAACACAGCAAACAAGGCAAUAAAUCGAAUAUGGAAUAAACUAAACUUGUAAAUAGAGGCUAUAAAAGCCGAAUCAUUUCACUGUAACAAGGACCGAUUUUUACAGAUACAAAAAAAUAUACACACAUAUAUACACAGAAGAAAGAAAUAAGAAGCUGUUGUUUACUUAAAAAAGGUGAUUUUGUUAUAUUUUUUUUUCUUCUCUGUUCAACGUAUAUAAAUCAUUUUUUUAAAAAAACGGUUAAGUUUAAAAGGGAGAAGGGAUUACCUGCGAUUCGCCGAGAGGAAUGAAGGCUUUUAGCCUUCCAACCGCCGUGAACGGUGGCACGUACAGCGCGUGGGCGCUUGUAGUCCAGUGGCCGGAGGCCGGGGCCGAAGGGCUCCCCUUUUCUCCUUUUUCAGAGGAUUUCAAUUUUCUUUUUUAA